CGAGAAAGCCCGCAAGGGUGAGUAAAGCGGCGCACGGGUGCGUAACACGUGGGUAAUCUGCCCUGGAGUCCGGAAUAACUCGCCGAAAGGCGCGCUAAUGCCGGAUGAGACCACGGGAGCCUCGGCUCCUGCGGGAAAAGGUGGCCUCUGUAUACAAGCUAUCGCUCUAGGAUGAGCCCGCGGCCCAUCAGCUCGUUGGCGGGGUAAUGGCCCACCAAGGCUACGACGGGUAGCUGGUCUGAGAGGACGAUCAGCCACACUGGAACUGAGACACGGUCCAGACUCCUACGGGAGGCAGCAGUGGGGAAUCUUGCGCAAUGGGCGAAAGCCUGACGCAGCAACGCCGCGUGUGUGAUGAAGGUCUUCGGAUCGUAAAGCACUGUCGCGAGGGACG
rnacentral:rRNA from 1 species